GGGAAAAAUCAAGCCAAAGUCUCCCUGCCCAACUUCUCUUUCUAGGCUUCUGCAGACACCACUUCCUGGGCUCUUAGCCUUUCUGAGCUGAAGGGUUUGCAUGGGCAAAGCUCACUUGAGCAUUUCCACCAAAUAAGUAAAUAAAUAAAGUGGUCUAGAGGACAAUGUAAUUCCCAGAUGCUCUCUCAACCGGUUUCUUAACAUCACAAAUAUGCCCUAGUCACAGGCUUCCAAAAUCUGCCACUCCUCAACUCCUCAGCUCAAGUUUCUGAAUGAGCAUUUUCACUUUUUUUUUUCCCUUAGUCAUUUAUGUUUUCCUUGUAAGCCAUGCCGAUAUGGAGUAUCUGCUGACACCUACAUCUGGGAAUAAGUUGAAAGCUGGAAUAACUUUGCUUGACAUUUAAUAAGUGGCUGAAGGCCCUGCCUGGCAACUACCUUUCAGCCUCUCUGUCUCCACUUAUGGGGUGACCUUGCCCCCAGACACAUGGCCUGGGACCAGCCCUGACCCAAGGAUCAUCAAUCUUAUUCUCCAUCAGUCUGGCUCCAGGCCAUGCUAUGAUCUCAUGCCCCAUUUCCAAUGUCUGGACAUCCCUCGGUUCCCAGAUCCUAUCCUGACUUGUGUUCCAGUUUGGGUAACCUGAUCCCUGGCAUGCUUCCUUGGAUCUGUGUUCCUGCCUCGGUAACCAGCCUCAACUUCUUGUUCUUCUAAAGCUGGAGUCUAGCAUCUUGCUUUAUAAUAAUCAUUCGUUCCUUCAAUCAAUGUUGUGCAGCAUCUACUAUGUGCUAGGCAGUGUCCUAGAGCUAAAGAUGCAGAAAUAAACAAGCCAAACUAAAAUCCCUGCCCUCAUAAAACUGACCUUCCAGUGGAGAAAGAGAGGCAAUAAACAGAAAGAAGAAGAAAUUUUAGUAUGUCAGUUUAUGAAAAGUGCUAUGGAGAACAAUAAAGCAGGAAAGAGGAUUGAGACUGACAGAGGAGGGCUGUAAUUUGCAAUAUGGAGGUCACUGAAGGACACACACUGAAGGAGAUGAUUUUUCAGCAAAGACCUAAAGGAGGAAGAAAAUGCAUUGGCAGACGCCAAGUUCCAGGAUGUGAUAAACAACUUAGAAGACACGUAGUAAAGACUGGAGAAAGCAAUGUGCUCAGGGUCCCACCCCUAGAAAGUGAUAAAACAUGAACAUCAGUCCAGAUGGGAAAACCAAAGUCUCAGAGAUGAAGUGAUCUUCUCUCUCAGCCCUCAGUGGUGUCAGCAGGACUUAAACCCAGGUUUUAUGACUUUUGACCUCACGUGGGGCCCACUGUGUGGCCCACUAUGCCACUAUGCCCUGCCUGCAGACCAGCUACUCACUUAGAAUUCCUAAGUGGUCAAUUCCAUACAUAUACAGCUCUAGAUCAAGGUAUGACAUCCUUAGGCAAGCUACUUAAUUUCUCUGCCUCACUUUCAUCAUCUAUAAAAUGGGUAAUAAAAGUGGUGUCUUUAGAU
rnacentral:lncRNA from 9 species